GGGUUGUGAGGUUAAGCGACUAAGCGUACACGGUGGAUGCCCUGGCAGUCAGAGGCGAUGAAGGACGUGCUAAUCUGCGAAAAGCGUCGGUAAGGUGAUAUGAACCGUUAUAACCGGCGAUGUCCGAAUGGGGAAACCCAGUGCAAUUCGUUGCACUAUCGUUAACUGAAUACAUAGGUUAACGAGGCGAACCGGGGGAACUGAAACAUCUAAGUACCCCGAGGAAAAGAAAUCAACCGAGAUUCCCCCAGUAGCGGCGAGCGAACGGGGAGCAGCCCAGAGUCUGAAUCAGCUUGUGUGUUAGUGGAACGGUCUGGAAAGUCCGACGGUACAGGGUGAUAGUCCCGUACACCAAAAUGCACAGGUUGUGAACUCGAAGAGUAGGGCGGGACACGUGGUAUCCUGUCUGAAUAUGGGGGGACCAUCCUCCAAGGCUAAAUACUCCUGACUGACCGAUAGUGAACCAGUACCGUGAGGGAAAGGCGAAAAGAACCCCGGCGAGGGGAGUGAAAAAGAACCUGAAACCGUGUACGUACAAGCAGUGGGAGCACCUUCGGGUGUGACUGCGUACCUUUUGUAUAAUGGGUCAGCGACUUAUAUUCUGUAGCAAGGUUAACCGUAUAGGGGAGCCGCAGGGAAACCGAGUCUUAACUGGGCGUUAAGUUGCAGGGUAUAGACCCGAAACCCGGUGAUCUAGCCAUGGGCAGGUUGAAGGUUGGGUAACACUAACUGGAGGACCGAACCGACUAAUGUUGAAAAAUUAGCGGAUGACUUGUGGCUGGGGGUGAAAGGCCAAUCAAACCGGGAGAUAGCUGGUUCUCCCCGAAAGCUAUUUAGGUAGCGCCUCGUGAACUCAUCUUCGGGGGUAGAGCACUGUUUCGGCUAGGGGGUCAUCCCGACUUACCAACCCGAUGCAAACUACGAAUACCGAAGAAUGUUAUCACGGGAGACACACGGCGGGUGCUAACGUCCGUCGUGAAGAGGGAAACAACCCAGACCGCCAGCUAAGGUCCCAAAGUCAUGGUUAAGUGGGAAACGAUGUGGGAAGGCACAGACAGCCAGGAUGUUGGCUUAGAAGCAGCCAUCAUUUAAAGAAAGCGUAAUAGCUCACUGGUCGAGUCGGCCUGCGCGGAAGAUGUAACGGGGCUAAACCAUGCACCGAAGCUGCGGCAGCGACACUAUGUGUUGUUGGGUAGGGGAGCGUUCUGUAAGCCUGCGAAGGUGUGCUGUGAGGCAUGCUGGAGGUAUCAGAAGUGCGAAUGCUGACAUAAGUAACGAUAAAGCGGGUGAAAAGCCCGCUCGCCGGAAGACCAAGGGUUCCUGUCCAACGUUAAUCGGGGCAGGGUGAGUCGACCCCUAAGGCGAGGCCGAAAGGCGUAGUCGAUGGGAAACAGGUUAAUAUUCCUGUACUUGGUGUUACUGCGAAGGGGGGACGGAGAAGGCUAUGUUAGCCGGGCGACGGUUGUCCCGGUUUAAGCAUGUAGGCUGAUUGUCCAGGCAAAUCCGGAUAAUCAAGGCUGAGGUGUGAUGACGAGGCACUACGGUGCUGAAGUAACAAAUGCCCUGCUUCCAGGAAAAGCCUCUAAGCAUCAGGUAACAUCAAAUCGUACCCCAAACCGACACAGGUGGUCAGGUAGAGAAUACCAAGGCGCUUGAGAGAACUCGGGUGAAGGAACUAGGCAAAAUGGUGCCGUAACUUCGGGAGAAGGCACGCUGGUGUGUAGGUGAAG
rnacentral:rRNA from 1 species